GCAUCGCUCUGUCCUGCUGACGUACGCGUCUUCCUUUUCAUAUCUGACCGUCAUGACUUUGAGCGGCUGAAACGUUGCUCAGCCGAGUAAGAUGAGACAUGUUAUCAAAUGUGUCAAGACACUCGACACACCCACUGGGGUACAGUCAACAGCCCAUUUAAUUCAGGCCAAGAUAAGAGACUGACUCAACACCACUAUGAUAUGUCUAAUAUUACAGUUUAGUUAGGGUUAAAGCUGAGAAUGAAUCCCGACGUCGCUGAAUCAGGAGCCGCUCAAGGCUUCAGUGUUUCUAAAGAAUUUCAAGGCUGCGUGUUACUUGUGAGGCAUGUUGGCAGUAGCCUGAUCCAGGACCUCUCGAUCUCUCGCUGAAAGCUGCGGCUGCAGUCGUCCUGUGCAGCCUGUGCAGCCCACAGACAAAAGAGGUACAAAAAAGCAACACCUGCUUGUUUUGUGGAACCCGAUGAGAUGUUAUCUCAAAGUUAAUCUCGUGUUUUCCUCGACAUCCAAGGACAAAGAGCGCAGUCAGUGCCAAAGAGACUAACACACACAGCUCAUUCAAGGCUCCUACGAAAACCGCCGAAAACCUUCCAGAGCACCGUGUAAGAUAAGAUUUAAUCAAAACAAUCACACCUGAUGGUUGCAUGGGCUGUGAAGUACAGUGGCUUAGCUUAAACUAACUGCCUCCUUCCUCCAAAAAGUUUUAAAAUAAUAUAAAAAACAUCUGGGGCUGGGAAUAAUCUGCGGCCGCGGGCCUGUUCGGGACCGGCAGUGGAUUAUGUUCACGUCUGAGAGUUGUGCAUUUGUUUUCACUGUCUUCAAAGUGAAGGUGGGCGCAAACUUUCCCACGCAGCAACACAAUCAAGGCCGGCGCUCGGCUUUUCAUUCCCUCUGAAUGUGUGCUCUGCUGUGCCAUCACACGCAUGCAUGUAUACACUCGUUGCUAAGCAGACCCAGGUGUUUUGGUGUUUUACUGAGAACACAGGCCCUUUAUAGCCACCACUUUUACAGUGAGUGUGCAGGUGUGACUGAUCAUUCCACGCAUGAAAAGAGACAGCAGUCAAACAAGGGCUGCUUUUUUCCUGUCUCCGCUCUGGAAACAUCCUCACCACAUGUGUGUGUUUGUGUAGUUGACAACAUUAAACAAUGACAAUGAUUGUUUAAUCAGUUUUUAAUUCCUUGUUGGUACACUGUGCUCACUGGAACAUCUCGGCCGCGAUGGGAACGUCCAAGUCUGGCUUUUUUAGAGCUUAAGUGGCACAACUGGACAAUUUAUGAUUAAAAUAUCAGUCCGGUCUGGCAAAAACCAUCUCUCCGUCACCACACACCCUGGAAAACAAUGAACGGUGCCCACCCCUAGAACAGAACUGAGUAAUUGGGAGCAGGAGCCAAUUUCCCAUAACCACAGGGACACAGUGACAGAGCGAUCCAAUAAAAGUCAGACACCAGACUACUGAAGCAUUUAUAUCAAGGGACUAGGACGGGUCUGCGUCUCUGAAACCAUGUUUCCAGCUUCACGCUCUGAUGAAUCCAGUACCUGUAAAAUCCAAAUUAGGAUGUGGCAGCAUCUUGAGAAAUGCAUGUGCUAUAUCUUUGAGGACUUUACUGUCUAGAAUCACUAAUGAACUGGUUCAAUCUGCUGCUGUAGUAAAGUAUAUGCAUUACUUGAAGACUGAAGUAGUAUCUAAUACUGUACAUUAACUGGCAUGCUGACGGCUAGCAAGCAACACCUUUCUUUGUUUUAACAUCUGUUUGCUCCAUAACACAAAAUUCAACUGGGGAUGGCGGGAAUGGCAUUGGUUUAGCAUUUAUUUGGUCAGAAACUAAAGGACUGAGGACUCUAAGGACAAAAUGUACCAUAAUCUGUAGGUGCACUCUGUCACGUGUGUCACCUGUCUGUGGUGUAAGCUUGCAGGGUUGUAUUGUCUUUGCAGCAGGGUUGUUGUUAUGCACUUGCUAGCCCGGGGGGAAUUGAACGACGCACAUGAGCUGCCCAGCAAAUCUUAAAAAACUGCGCCAGAUAUUAACCAAGAGGACAACUUAGAGGAUCAGCAAAGUGAUUUCAAUUGUACAAUUUUGAUUGCAAAAGUGAUUGUCUGUAUCAGCUUUCAAGAAAACAUAUCAAAGCUGGAUUCCAAAUUUCUAAAUUUUGUUGAAAAGCACAAAUACCAACUUAUAAUUGACCAUGACAACCACAGGAAGUCAAAUUGUUUCAAGAUGUUUCAAAGAGCGAAUGCCUCUUCUCACUUAUUCCACCUUAUAUACAGGACCUAUGCCUUCACAGACAAAAAAAGUUGCAUGUGUGAGCUUAUCUUCAGCUUGUCCUCCCUAAAACAGGGUUGUGUGAUUUACGCACAUUAGAAUGAAAAGAAAACAUUUCUCCUCCAAUGAUGGCACGGAAAAGGAGGGUAUGUUUGAUUUAAUGCUUUCCCUGCACACGAGACUCCAGCUGACCUGAUAGCUGACGCAGCCAAAGGUGGAAGAGAGACUAAACCUUAAAGAGAUUACUUCAGGGAAGAUGGGAAUGGUAUAUCAGAGUACAGAUCAGUAUAACAACAUGUAGGGAAGAUCAGAACGAAGCCUUCUGGUUGGAUGACACAUUUUCUAACGUAAUAAGAGAAAAACCCUCGUCAGUGUGUUCUCUCUUGUGUGAGUGCGUAGUCACCACAUGAUGCCACAUGUUGCCUUUGAAGCUUGAUUAAAGUCGUUCCCUUGUCAAGAGCUGUAUUAUGUAUCGCCGCCAGGUAAUCACACUUGAAAGUCAAAGGACUAGAAACAUAAAAACGAGCUGCACGGUGUCUUAUCUCGGAGAUUAACACCGCUCAUGUUGUUCCUGUUGUUCAGCUGGAUGAUUGGAGCUGCCUCAUCCUGAGCUUUAUGGAGGGGCAGGGAGGGGGAUUGGUGGUACAGUCAUUCCGCGAGCUAUAGUUUCCCCAUCACCUCUGAAGGGUCGCGAUGACUCACUCAGGCCACAGACGUCAUCUUAUUCAGGGGACUGACACAGCUGCGCUGUGAGGGGGAGAAGGUAGGAUGGAUUUAUUAGUGAAAAAAGAAAGGACACGGCAAAUGAAGGAAGGCACUUAACAAGAAAAAGAAAAAAAAGGUUUUAUAGAUCACUUCAUGUGAAGAAGGUAAAUGGUAAAAGCUGACAUGGACACAAGCUCGCAAACAAACAUCUUGACGCUCUAGGGUACAAUUUGUCACCGAUAACACAAUGUGGUAAAGGCUUAUCAGACAAUGGUAGGAGAGGGAGUAAAGUGCCAUAAUGUUCAUGGUAAUAGACUAAUAUUGAUAAUGAAAGUGUGGAAUUUUAAAGGAUAAGCUGAAGUGCACGGGCUGCCAUAUAAAUAUACAUGGCUGCUAUGAUCAAUAUUUUCUAUCAAGAAUUCCUCAUUUGUUUCUGUGUAACGUUGAAGAGGUUGAUCAUGACAAACUCACAGAGACGAGGCACUUUUGGACCACUUCUACUCUUAUUCUUACUGGUAACUUUCUACGAGAAAGGAUUUACCUUUAAUGAUCCCACGCAGGAGAUAUUCAGGGUGACACCCCAGCAUUAGCAUAAGACGCAGAAGAAAAAAACAGCAUGAUCUGCACAUAUACAUGCGCUUAGAAACUCACAGUAACGUGGUUAUUGAACAGAACAAAUGUGACCAUAUUCAGUACAACCAUGUGCAGUCUGUUUACAAUAAAUAUGAAAUUAUACCGUGUGGAUGGUAAAAAUAUGCAAAGGCUGUAGAAAGCACAGUCGAGAAGACAACAGUGAACAAACAGUGUGUUUGCGAAGGGAUUAUGUACGGUUAGUUUGUGCCUUCAGUCAUAAUUGUGACGGAACUGAUCCAGACACAAACAUGACACACAAAUCUGUAACAUUGGUAAAAACAAUGACUGUGUAAACCACACUCUUAACUCCUGCUGAUAAAGAUAAAGGGAUCAACAGUGAAAUACAGUUGUUGGUUGUAUGUUGCUAUGCCUGACUGGCCAGAUCCUCGGAGCGUCCAGAGAUCUGAUUUAAAUUUAGAUAGAAAGCUUUAAAAACCAAAGACGGAAAGAUGUUGUUCACAUGAAAUGGCGGAGACUAAAUAAGAAAAAGAGUGACUGUUGUUCCUGUUGUCUAACGAGUUUAUCUUACGUACUUUGUGAUAUGUUCAGUGUUCGCAGUCUGAGGACUUCAUAAAGAUUUCCCUUUGCCUAGUUCACUUAUAUAGAAUACAGUACGUACAAUAAUGAUUUAACUACAUCUAUUCCAUGUUAAAUACUCAUCAUCUUCAGCAUUAUAGUAAUAGGCUUUAGCACUGGGAGCUACAGCAAAACUAAAUGAGCACACGGCAUCUAAUUCCAUCCUUCAUAAUAUUUGUCUGCGAGUGUCCUCCUAGGGAAAAGGCACUAUGGACAUUUACUACACCUUACACUAACAGUAAUGGGCUUUAUUAUAUCGGACCUGUUCUCUGAACUCCUUCCCCUCUGUUGUGAUCCCAGGAGCCCCAUCUCGAGAUGGGUGAGGGGUUCCCAUGUGUCCUGCCACUCGGCUAAUUGAGGCCUGGUAAAGGCAGGUUGCCAUGGAGGAGCCUCCCACAUCAGGGAUGCUACUUAUAGUGUCACUCAUUUGGGAUUACUGGCAGUGUACUGAACAUAUAUAUUUAUAUUCUGUGCACAUAGGAGCCGUAAAGAUUUCCAUUGAAAUUUGAAUUUGCAUUCACAUUUUCUUAACACAACCAGGGACUUGUAUUUGGUUUAAAAAAAAACAAAACAUAAUUUUACUUGUCCAAACAUAUCAAUGAUGAUUUUACAUAACUGAAAGACCAAUUGACUAAAAACAAAAGAGAAGAGAACAGAAGUAUAUGUGGACUUCUUUCUUAUUUGUUACACUAGUACAUCUGUCACUUUUUGUGUUUAAAGGGCCUGAGCAGAGGAUUUAGGGACAUCUAGUGGUGGAAUUGUAUAUUUCCCCCUCCUUUAACUCCCUUCGUACGUUUUGGGCAACUGUAGAAUAAAUGUCAGGCUCUGUGGAUGAAAAUAUUCCCUGAUGAAGAACGUAAAUCUAAUCAUUCACAGUUACAGGUGAUUAUACAAUAAUGGAAACAUCGUUUUGAAUCCUGUAUCUCAUUUCUACCAGUAGAUCCCCUGAUCAGUAUGGGACAGCAUAAACAUGUGUUUGCACCAUAUGUGUUAAUUAGCGCUGAACGGAAGGUAUAGCAUAUGCACGCUUCCUGAAGCAUCGCUUACUUCCUGUUUGAAAAUAGUGUGAUUGUGAUGGUGUCUGAUAAAUCACACACACAAAUUAACCUGACGAUGGUGUUAAAUAAGAAGUUUCUGUUCUAUAUUUCACGGUGAUCCAUCCAGAAGCUGCUACCCACAAGUUUUAUCUGAGAGGACAGGUUUGCAAAUAUUAAUCAGCUGCACACGUAAUUUCACAAUCCAACUGUCAGGUCGUCAGAAUUUUUUGUCAAGUUGAAGUAUGCAGACAGUAGUAACAUCCCUUACAAUACUGCUCAUAAAGCGACACCGCCAAUCACCUUAUUCUGUGAAUGAUCUUCCUAGCUUAUACAAACAUACUAGACAUACAUAAACAAACUAUAAAAGUUUAAUUUGAUAAGCUUGACAUCCCUCUCUGUUAUCUACGGCUUCUGAGGUCACAGCAUGUAUCAAAUUAGACAUUACAUGCAGUUAAUUUAUUGUGGCUUGUUAUUAUUUACUGUUCAACUACUUAAUGUGUCUGACAGUAUGUGCAAAAUACCGUGUCAGCCAUAAAAUGUUCUUUGUGAGAGACAUUUCAGUGACUCCUAUGACAUCUCAUACAUACAGAGUGACUUUGUUGAGUUUGCACUUCCUGCCACAGAGAUGGAAUAAUUCUCUGCACUUUACAUGCAGAGUGGGGAUCCGUCAUUCAGAUCGUCUGUCCCUGGAACCAACCAACGUGAGUGAGUCAGGAGACGGCGGUGAACUCAUCCACAGCAGGAGGACGAAGGGACGGACGGAUGAGGACAGAGAAAUCUUGAUAAAAAACAUAGGAGGACAUGGAGGAUGAGUGUGUCUGAGUUGUGUUUACUGCAGUUCUGGAGCAUUUAUCUUUUUCCAAACUCGAUUUGAUAUUGAACCGUCUAACCUUGUCAGAGCCACUUGGCAUGAUCCAGCACACAAUACGCAGUUACUUAGUCAUACCCAUAUUCUGUACGUCAUGAAUUUGAGGAGAACUGGCCGUUACCUUGGUAACCACUGCUGAACACAUCAUCUGGACUUUGUCCGUGAUUUCAUUUCAUUAUCCCAAGUAGUCUUGACAUUAGUCCAGUUCGCUCAUCGUAUCCAGAGUGUUGUGGAUGAAAACCCAUAAAACAUUCAUAUAGAUUCAUUUCUAGUCUUUAAUUGAGGCUGCAAACAGGGAUGUAGCAUUUACAGCUGAAUUAUUGACCGCAAUCUUUUUUGUUUUUUUUAGAAAAAAGCUAUAAGUGCAAGACGAACACAACUAAAGACAGUGUGAAUCUGAUAUAAAUAAAGCCAUGAUUUUCUCCUUGGG